UUUUGAGAAAAAGCAUCCAUUCGUGGAAGAUCCUAUCACUGGCCCAGUUGACACAGAGCUUUUUGAUAAAUACUUUGAGUGGAUUCGCAAGAGACUGCUUGUCAGGCAUGAAAAUAAAAAGAACAAUGAAGAUCGUUACAGAAAGAAGAUGGCAGCUUUUGAGAAUGAUGCAGAUUAUACUUAUAAUUUUGGUAUCACAGUAGUAGAGAACAAAAACUGGUUCUACCAGUCAUCAAUGAGUGGCCAGUUGUGGAAUGAUGAGCACAUUGACGUGAUUUUCUACUACUUGCGAAAGAAAGGCAAGUAUCACAGAAGGAGCACUUUCAAAUACAGAACAGUUGACUGUCUCUUCAUGCGAAAGGUUGAUUAAACGUAUCUUGCAUACAACAACCCGGAAACUGGACCCAAUGUAGCCAACCAAGAAGACGAUAUAUGUUAAUAUGUUAAGGGCUACAAAUUGCAUGCAAAUGUCCCGUGGCAUUAAGUUGACAAUAUUUUUAUACCUGUCAACAUCAAAGAGGAUAAUCAUUGGAUUUUGGUUGUACUCUCAUUCAAUGACAGGCGACUUUAUGUGUACAACUCAUACUGAGGCAGCGCAGGCCACAACGCAGUUGUUAGAAGGGAAGUACAAAAGCUUGCUGCCCUCCUGCCACAUUAUCUACACAUCAGUGGAUUCUACACUCAAAAAACUGGCAUAAAUUGGCAGAAUCACCCAGCAUAUACGGACAUGACACAGAAUGAGAACAUUCAAGUGGAGUAUGUAGAAAAUCUGCCGCAGCAAGACACUACCAGCAUGGAUUGUGGUGUGUACGUAGUAGCGUUCGCUGAAUAUCUAAGCACUGAUGAAGGUAU